AUGGAUUGGCCAAAGAGAUUUGAUAUCAUUCAAGGUAUUGCACGUGGACUUCUCUAUCUCCACCGUGACUCACGCCUCAGAGUAAUUCACAGAGACCUGAAGGUCAGCAACAUUCUUCUGGACGAGAAGAUGAACCCGAAAAUAUCAAAUUUUGGGUUGGCUUGGAUGUUUCAGGGAACCCAGUAUCAGGACAAAACUCGCAGGGUUGUCGGAACUCUGUGAGAACAGUUCUUCGAUAACAUGAUAACCUAAUUCCGUUGUCAUGAUAGUCAUAUACUAAACUGGGUGAAACUAUUUGAUUUUUGAACAGAGGAUAUAUGUCUCCUGAGUAUGCAUGGACUGGUGUAUUCUCUGAGAAAUCAGACAUCUACAGCUUCGGAGUUCUACUGCUAGAAAUCAUCAGCGGGGAGAAGAACUCAAAUUUCAGCUAUGGCGAGGAAGGAAAAGCACUUCUUGCAUAUGUAAAUAAGACUCUUUAUGUUUUCAUGCAUUUGCAGAGGUUGCAAAAGGUUUGUUGCUUUGAUAUUCUUAAGAUCUGAAACUAAAAAACAGGCAUGGGAAUGUUGGUGUGAAAACCGAGGAGUUAAUUUUUUGGACCAAGCUCUUGCUGAAUCUUGUCACCCAUCUGAAGUUGGAAGGUGUGUCCAGAUUGGUUUGUUUUGUGUUCAAUACCACCCUGCAGACAGACUAAACACACUUGAGUUGCUGUCUACGCUUACCACAACGUCAGAUCUUCCUCUGCCAAAACAACCUACAUUUGUAGUGCACACUAGAAAAUACGACACCGUCAAAUGAUUCGAUGAUCACUGACAAUGAGAUGACAGUCUGUGAUCCAAGGACGUUGAAACUGUAGAAUGUGAAUUAUUCUCCACGAGGAUCAAAAUUUCUAAUGUUGAGAAAAUUACAUCCCUUCUUGGCCAAUCAAUCUCCAGCCUUUCUCUUUGGUUGUUCCCUUCUUGCAUUCUUCCUUUAUUAUUCAGAAACUUUUUAUCCAUGUGGAAACUGUUUGUCUGAUAGUUUUAUGCCUUAUAUUCAAGAAAAAGGCUGGAGAUUGAUUGGCCAAAAAGAUUUGUGCCUCGAAUGUUUACUAGUUUUUAAGUGGAUUUUGGUUUUUAGAUUUUAGAUUUUGGAUUAUGGUUUUUAAAUUUUUGGUUUUUGGUUUUUGGUUUUUUUGCUAUAAAAAUAAAAAUUAAUAAAUAAAAAAUUAAAAAAUUAAAAAUGAAACAUAAUCACAUUGAAAAAAGAAGUUUUCUACAAAAACCUCAAAAUUAUGGUUUUUGGUUUCUCUUUGAAAUUUGGAAAAACCACUCAAAAACUAGUUUUCCUAAAUUUUAGGGAAUCUAAUUUUUUAAAAACUUGAAUGGUGAAAAAUUAGAUUUUUCCAUAAACAAAAACCAAAAACCACUUAAAAACCAUUAACCAUUCAAGGCCUUGAUAUCAUCAUUACAUGAUUCCACUUGCAACUAACCCCGAAUAAUCCUAUACUAUUAUUUGGGAGUACACUUUAUAAGAUACCCUUAACUAACCUUCCUUUUUGUAAGAAUCUAUAUAUACAUUUUUGGAUGACUUUUAGCAAAUAAAUCCUGGAGUUGGACCUUAUUUACGGAUGAAUGCCAUUGGCAUUAAUUAUUUAAAUUUGAAAAAUAUUAAUUAAAGAUAUUACCAAUACGAUUUCGAGAAUCAUAAAUUCAUAUCUUCCUUAAUUUUCUGAGUCAUUAAUGUGAUAAUCUUUAGGAAAUAUUUCUCUGUAAAAAAAAAAAAUCCACAUUAAUGAAGGCAUUAAAAUCGACACUAACAAUUAAAUUAUUUAGAUGUUCAAUUAUUUUAAGAUUCUUAUAUCUUAUUUGAUAUUUUUUUUUAAUAUCUCAUUCUUUAAUUACUGCGUUUAGAAUUUAUUGGUUGUUACCUAUUUUUUGGUGAAAUUUAUUGGUUGUUACUUAAUAAGUAAUUAUGGUGCGUUUAUUUUAGUUAAUAUCUAAUUUAAAGGAUUUGUUUUCUUUUAUUAUUAAUAAAUGAAUAACAUGUAUAGAAAUAAAAGAUUUUUUUUGCGACUCCAUAAUAAAAAUAUUAAACUCUUAUUUUCUAUAUUUCUUACACAUAAUAUCCUCUUAUUCAAUAACAAAAAAUAUAUAUUACAUAUUUUUAAAAAUAUUUAUAAUAUUUAAAUUAUAUGAAAAAUUUGUAAUAUUAAUAUUAUUUCAACUCUAUACAAAUUUAAUAUAUAUGUAUAUAUAUCUUAUGGGAACCAUUUAAAAGAAAUUUUUAAAUUGACUUGAAUUAUAUAGCUUUUAAAUAAAAGUAUUAUUAAAAAGAAAAAUAACUAAAUAAUGUUUAAUUUCACGGGACGGGUAAUAUGAUGGGACGGGUUUGGGUUGAUAUUUAUAAAAGAUCGUAUACCACAGGUGAAAUCCUAAAAUUAACAAUCAAAAUAAUCUAUCAAACAAAUUACAUUUUGAUUUUUUUAAGAAAAUAUAGCCCCGCGGUGUACCGCGGGUUAAAAUCUAGUUUACUUAAGAAUGCCAUUACAAAAAUCUUCUUUUAUAACAAAUUUCAUUCAAUUUAUUAAGGAUAAAGAAGUAAAAUACUAAUUUAUGUCAUUUAAUUAAUUUAAUUAAAGAGAAAUUGUUAAAAAUGCCCAUUUUUCAAUACCCCUUUUCAAAAUGCCCCCUUUGAGAGUCCAUUUUUAAGUUUACCCUCUUUUAAUUUUUAGUGACCAUUUUACCCUUAUUUGAAACAAAAUUAGAUCCACAAAAUACAAAAUAUUUUUUGCCGGGAAAAGUGAUCCCGCAAUUUUCCCGCCAAAACACUUGUAAAAACUUGUAAAACCUUUAAAAUACCUUGUACAAUUUUCCCGUAAAAAAUUUUCCCACCAAAAAACUUUUUUGCGGGAAAAGUGAUUGCGCAAUUUUUUUGGCGGGAAAAAUUUACAAGGUAUUUUAAAGGUUUUACAGAGUAUUUACAAGUGUUUUGUAAGGUUUUACAAUGUAUUUUAAAAGGUUUUACAAGGUACUUAUAAGGUUUUAUAAGGUAUUUAUAACUUGUAAACCUUAUAAAAAACUUGUAAAACCUUAUAACUUGUAAAACCUUAUAAAAUAGCUUGUAAAAUCUUAUAAUAUCUUAUAAAUACCUUAUAAAUACGUGUAAAACCUUUUAAAAUACAUUGUAAAACCUUAUAAAUACCCUGUAAAAAACCUUUAAAAUACCUUGUAAAUUUUUCCCGCCAAAAAAAUUGCGGAAUCACUUUUCCCGCAAAAAAAAAUUUUACGCGGGAAAAAUUUUUACGGGAAAAUUUUACAAGGUAUUUUAAAGGUUUUACAAGUUUUAACAAAAUCAAAUUUGUAAUUUUGAUGUGUGCACAUUCUCAUGUUUUCCUUAUAUAUUUGUGAUAUCUUUUAUUAAAAGAAGGGUAAUUUAGUCAAUUUGUACAUAAAAAGGGUAUUUUUUAAAAUGGAUAGCCAAAUAGGGUAUUUUUGAAAAGGGGUAUUGAAAAAUGGGCAUUUUUGUGAGUCUCCCUUAAUUAAAUCAUAAAACGAAAAUCUGUUAUUUUUUUUUUUAAAUGACCAAUCAAAAUGAACAUAUAAGUUUUGAUAUCUAACUUACCAUAUUAAUUUGUUAUUAAUCAUUAAACUUCACCUCUCAUCUUUAUAUGAUUAUAUUAAUAUGAAACAAAUAAAUCAUCAUAUCAUUUACAUAAUAAAAAAAAAGUAAUUUUUUUUUCUGCAUAUGCCAAGAUUUGAAUUUUUAAAAACGCAUAUAAAUUGUUCAAUCUAUAAAGGAAACAAUUAAACGGGUCAAAAAUUCAGACUUGAGUAAUAUAUUUCUUUUACACAAAAUAAAGUCAACAAAAAUUCCGACUGAGAAACGAGUCAGAAUUUGAAUAUUUAUAUUCGAUUUCAUACAUUUAUUUUUUUGAAAUGUAUAAUUUUAUAUACUACAAUAAAAAUUUAAAUAUUUAAUUUGCAACAUUUAAAAUAAGUUUUACUUGAUAUUUUUAGAGAAUAUCAUCAAUACUUAAAACGUUAAAAAUUAUAAAUACUCUAAUUUGAUUAUUUUUAAAAAUAUUUAUAAUAGGUAGCGGGUUAAAUAUAAUAUAUUAUAUGAUGAAAUGAGUUUUGAUCCUUAUAACUAUUUGAAUAGUUAUAUUUAAUUUCAUAUAAUUUGUUUUUUGAAAUUCAUAAUUUUAUAAACUACAAAAAAAAAUUAAAGAUUUUAAUUUGGAAUAUUUAAAAAUAGUGUAGAACAUUUAAAUAUGGUUUGACACCUCUAAAUAUUUGAAAAUUUGAUUCCGCAAGAAAUUUUAGAAUUAACGAAUAAUAGAUUGUGUACGCAAUAUUUUAAAAUGAAAUAUUAAGAUUCUAAAAUAAAAAUAUAGACUUCAUGCACGGGCUGAUUUUGGUAUUAUUAUAUACUAAAUAUAUGUUUAUAACAUAUUCGAUUAUGCGAAUAAUUGGUAAAUUCCGUAAUUAUAAAUCUCAAACAAAUUCUGUAAUUAGAUUAGCUCAAAAAAAUCUUUAUUUCAACAACCAAAGAAUUAUAAAUUGAAAAAGAAUUUUGUAAAUUAAUUCAAAAUAAUAGCUAAUUUUCUUAAUUAAUUCAAAAUAAUAUAUGUUUUAUAUGUGAUUCAUUUAUGAUAUUUGAAUUUUUGAUAUAAUUGAAAUAUAUGCAAUCCUAUUUUGUGGUUGUUAACAUAAAUUAACUUAUUGUUCAAAAAAUAUUACUUUUUUAAAAAUAAAAUUAUUUUCCGUUUUAAUAUCUUUAAAAAAAAAUUAUCCAUAAUUGAGUAUUAUAGAAAUUUUUUUUUUUUUAUUCUAAUAUUGUAUAUUGGGACUGACAAAAAAAAAUUAAUAUUUUUUUACUUACUAUUAUAAUAUAUUAAAACUUAGUUCUAAUAUAUAUAUAUAUAUAUAUAUAUAUAUAUAUAUAUAUAUAUAUAUAGUACGGGUGAUGAUCUAUUGUAUACGUAUUUUGGAUCAUUUACCCAUCCCGAAACACACGAAACUGACAAAAGACUUUGCUCAAAAAAAAAAAAAAAAAAAAAAAAGAGACUAAAAAAUCGUCGACGCUACUUUAUUUUAUUAAGCUUUUUAUUUAGAAGAGGUAGUAUCUUUUUCUCUACCGUAGUUUUGCUUAUGGUACCUUUUUUUUCACGCCAGCCCCGUUUGAUAGCAUCAACUAAUAUAGCCAUUAACUCAUAACAUUCUUGAUCUGACCAUGACAUAUAUGGGCCUUUCUUUUUCUUUUUUGACGUCUCUCCUGCCUCUGCCUGGUCUCCUGAUUCCAUUCUAAAAAAAAAAGGAAAGUAAAAAACACAAAGAAAUCUUUCAUAUGGAUCAAGAGAAACUGUAGUGUAGAUUAUUAUAUAAAAAUGGAUUAGAGAAACUUACGAAGGAUGAUUGUGGUUUUUCUUCAAACUGGUUUUAGGAGAUGAUCGUUGUUUUUUUUUUAGAGAAGUGAGGAAAUGAUCACCAAUAUUAUAUAUAGGAGAAGUAAGUGUAACUAAUACUAUUUUUUGGGGAUUUUAAGAUAUAUGGUUGAUAGAUUUUAUAAUAAACAAUAAUUUAAUAAAUUUUAAAAGUAUAGAAAAUCUAGCAACAAUAUUCUUAUCUAAUAAAAUUGGAGCAUAUCCAUAAAGAAUAAACAUGCUUCAGCACUGAUGUGUAUCAUAUAAUUUUUCUCACGUUAUUGUUCUCACGUUAUUGUUCGUCCAAUAACAAACAUAUUUUGUUGUUCUCACGUUAACAAAAACAGAGCAUCACGAUUCACAACUCACGAGCACACCCGAAACCUUGCAGAUGUCGCAGCUACCAAAGCAAGCGUGUCAUUGUCAUCUUAGCUUGUGUUCACGAGGAUAAGGAGAUCAAUCCGAAGUUGUUGUGUCGUUGCCGUCGUUUGGCGUUGUUUCAUUUUGAGUCACCGUGGUUGAUUCUCGAUCAACCCCGUCAGAUAGAAAGAGAGACACGGCUAAGACAUGGUCACAUGGCAUCUCUGGAGGUUACGAGAAAACAGGAGAAGUGAGGUCUCAUGUGGAAAUGUGAUGAAAGAGGCAGUAAUCUCGUUAACACAAAAAAGAGAGAAAGGGAGAAGAGGAGAGAGAGAGAGCCAUGAAGAAGAGGAGAGAGUUGGAGAAGUCGCACAGGUGGUGGAAAUCACUGGUGGCUCUAUUAGCACAUGUCAUGGUCGUGGAAACUCUCGAUGGUGGUCAAGGAUCAAGCUUGGAGCAGAUCAAAGGUGGAAAAGAAGAUAUGUUGCACAUGAGUUCAUAGCUAAUGGUUUGCACAUGAGGCUCUUGGUUGCUCCAGAAGAGAUGUCAAUGGGAAGACGAAUCAUUUGAGGGAAAUUUUGAUGAGGUCUUGGCUCCAGAAGAGAUGCCAAUGAGAAGAAGACCCAUUUGAAGUCCGUACGUCCUUUUUUUUUCCCACCGAAAUCACAACGUAAAGGCUCAGAAUUUGUUCAAUACAUUUUACACUAAUGUUUCUAUUAAUUUCUUGUCAAAUAAUGGUGUCAUAGAAUUUUACAUAACAUUGAAUAACACUUGAAUUUAAUAGAAUUAAGAAUUCAACAAAUUGAAUAACACUAGAAUUAAAAAUAUUUCAAAAGAAUGGUUACAAAUACUUAUCUCAAUAACACAAGAAUUAAAAAUAUUUCAAAAGAAUGGUUACAAAUACUUAUCUCAAUAACACAAGAAUUUAAUAGAAUCUACAAAAAGUCAAAAUGAAUAACAAUUCAAAUUCUAUUUAAUUCUAUCAAUUUCCUUCGUCCAAUACCCCCCAAAGUCUUCGCGGAAGAUUCUUCUCUGGCCUGUGGCUUUACGACACGAGUCAUACACUGGCACACCAAUGUUGACUGUUGAAUUCUUCGGCUAUUUUGGACAGAAUCAGUUAAGCCCAUAUGGUUGGAGUUGGAAUCCAUCGAUUGGGGUCAUUACGACAUGAGCGAGUCUCCGAAUUUUUUGGUAUGCACUGCAAGUGUUCGAGGAAAUGUCUAAACCAUAGCCUGCAAUUCAAAAAAGUUAAUGUGUUGUAAUGGAAAAGCAAGGAUUUCGGAAACUAAUUCAAAUGAUCUGAUUGUCGAUUGAUGCAGAGUUGUACGUUCUCGGCCUAACAAGCUAAUAAGGACUUGAACAAAGACAACGUUGCGUUUCUGAUUGGGUAAGGACUUAUGCAUUGACAAUUUUGUUCUGUAUUAUUAAAUAAUGCAUUGAAACAUAAGUAAAGUAGUUCUCACAAGUCAAUCCCUGAGUUGUCCAAAAAAAAAAAACUCCAUAGUGUUUUUUUCCGGCUUUCUUGCUUUAUGUAUAACAAAUAUGGGGAAGAAGAGGAUCGUGUUCUUUGCUUAUUUGCUCUUAUGCACCAUCUUUAUAAGUUUUAGCUCUGCAGGGAUAACGAAAGGGAGUCCUUUGUCAAUAGGACAAACUCUCAGCUCUUCUAAUGGUGUUUAUGAACUGGGAUUCUUCAGUCCUAAUAACUCCCAAAAUCAGUAUGUCGGAAUCUGGUUCAAGGGUAUCAUUCCCCGGGUGGUUGUGUGGGUGGCCAAUAGAGAAAAUCCUGUUACAGAUUCCACGGCAAAUCUCGCUAUCAGCAGCAAUGGAAAUCUUCUGUUAUUUAAUGGCAAAGAUGGUGUUGCAUGGUCCAGUGGAGAAGCUCUUGCUUCUAACGGGUCUCGUGCAGAGCUUACAGACACCGGAAAUCUUAUUGUCAUAGACAAUUUUUCAGGAAGAACUCUAUGGCAAAGCUUUGACCAUCUUGGUGAUACUAUGCUCCCUCUCUCAACUCUGAAGUAUAACCUCGCCACUGGCGAGAAGCAGGUGUUGAGGUCUUGGAAAAGUUACACUGAUCCAUCGCUUGGCGACUUUGUGCUUCAGAUUACACCGCAAGUGCCAACACAGGUGCUUGUUAUGAGAGGAUCAACGCCUUACUAUAGAAGCGGUCCAUGGGCGAAAACAAGGUUCACGGGGAUACCGCUAAUGGAUGACACAUAUACAGGUCCAGUCAGCCUUCAGCAGGAUACAAAUGGGUCAGGAUCUCUCACUUAUUUAAACGGAAACUUCAAACGUCAACGCACAAUGCUAACAUCAAAGGGCUCACAGGAGCUUUCUUGGCAUAAUGGGACAGACUGGGUAUUGAACUUUGUGGCUCCAGCACACUCAUGUGAUCACUACGGUGUAUGUGGACCUUUUGGGUUAUGUGUGAAGUCCGUUCCUCCAAAAUGCAAGUGUUUCAAAGGGUUUGUUCCUAAAGUCAUCGAGGAGUGGAAAAGAGGAAACUGGACUGGUGGUUGUGUGAGGCGUACCGAACUACAUUGUCAAGGAAACUCUACUGGCAAAGAUGUAAACGUCUUCCAUCAUGUUGCCAGGAUAAAGCCUCCAGACUUUUACGAAUUUGCAAGUUUUGUGAAUGUUGAAGAAUGCCAGAAAAGUUGCCUCCACAAUUGUUCUUGCUUGGCCUUUGCUUAUAUCAAUGGAAUAGGGUGCUUAAUGUGGAACCAAGACCUAAUGGACGCAGUGCAAUUUUCUGCAGGGGGAGAACUUCUCUCCAUUCGUCUGGCACGUUCUGAACUAGGUAUGCCUCAAAUGAUAACACGAAAGAACUACUUCGUCAAUUACAACUUUAUCUACAACUCUAUUGAUACUCUUCUUGCCGGAAGCAGCAUGGCGUAUUGUUUAAUUUGUUUUUUGUCUUAUAUAUCUCAGGUGGGAAUAAGCGCAAGAAGACCAUUACUGCUAGUAUCGUGAGCCUUUCUCUUUUUGUGAUAAUUGCGUCUGCUGCGUUUGGUUUCUGGAGAUAUAGAGUGAAACAUAACGGUACAAACUGAUGUUCUUACUCCCUCUGUAUUGAUUUCUUUUGUUUAUUUACAGUAUUCAUUUUCUUGCUAUAUCGGUAAGACACUGAUGACCUAUAUUAUCUAUAAUUGAAACUCUAGUUUCAGCUGAUAUAACAAAGGAUGCUUCACAAGUUGCAUGUAGGAAUGAUCUGAAACCACAAGAUGUCUCAGGUUUAAAUUUCUUUGAGAUGAAUACCAUUCAAACUGCCACCAAUAAUUUCAGUAUAUCAAACAAACUCGGACAAGGUGGAUUUGGUUCAGUUUACAAGGUCAGAGAUUUUCUAUUUUUAACCUCUUUGCUCUCUUCUAUUCUUUGCUUAUGCUCUCCAGAUGACCUUAUGCAAAGAGUUUCAGGGAAAGCUGCCAGAUGGGAAAGAAAUUGCUGUCAAACGGCUUUCUAGUAGCUCGGGCCAGGGCAAUGAAGAGUUCAUGAAUGAAAUAGUACUCAUCUCAAAACUACAACAUAAAAACUUAGUUCGGAUUUUGGGAUGUUGCAUUGAAGGAGAAGAGAAGCUAUUGAUUUAUGAGUUUAUGUUGAACAAAAGCCUUGAUACUUUUCUCUUCGGUGGGUUCCUUCUUGCCUCAUUCCUUUACUAUCAGCAGCUUUUCUCUAUAUGGAACUACUGUCUUAUCUGAUUGUUUUUAUGCUGUAUUGUUGCUUAGAUUCAAGAAAAAGACUUGAGAUUGACUGGCCAAAGAGAUUUGAUAUCAUUCAAGGUAUUGCGCGUGGAAUUCACUAUCUCCAUCGUGACUCACAUCUCAAGGUUAUUCACCGAGAUCUGAAGGUCAGCAAUAUUCUUCUGGAUGAGAAAAUGAAUCCAAAGAUAUCAGAUUUUGGAUUGGCUCGGAUGUAUCAGGGAACCGAAUAUCAGGACAAUACUCGCAGGGUUGUAGGAACUCUGUAAGACUCGAUUUUCAAAAACAUGUUUAACAAGAUUCAUAUUCAUAAACUCAUAAUCGUUUAUUAAACUUUGUGUGAAACUUUUUGAUGUUUGCACAGAGGAUAUAUGGCUCCUGAGUAUGCAUGGACUGGGAUGUUCUCUGAAAAGUCCGACAUCUAUAGCUUCGGAGUUCUAAUGUUAGAAAUCAUUAGCGGGGAGAAGAUCUCAAGGUUCAGCUAUGGCAAAGAAGAAAAAAACCUUAUUGCAUAUGUAAGUACCUUUUUAGGUAUUCAUACAGUUGCAAAUGUGUCAAAACGUUUCUUGCUUUUAUAUUCUUAAGAUCUGAAACUGAACAACAGGCGUGGGAAUCUUGGUGUGAAACUGGAGGAGUUGAUCUUUUGGAUAAAGAUGUGGCUGAUUCAUGUCACCCAUUAGAAGUUGAGAGAUGUGUUCAGAUUGGUUUGCUCUGUGUUCAACACCAACCUGCUGAUAGACCAAACACAAUUGAGUUGCUGUCUAUGCUCUCCACAACAUCAGAUCUUCCAUCACCAAAACAACCCACAUUUGUAGUGCACACUAGAGAUGAUGAAUCAUCGUCUAAGGAUUUGAUCACUGUGAAUGAGUUGACAAAAUCUGUGUUCUUAGGGCGUUGAGAAUUGAUGUUUGAUUAAAACUUUAGAAUUGAUGUAUGUUUAAUUGUUGUGGAAAGGGAUCAAUUUUUGUAUGGUUAUAACUUCACCUUUUAUUCGUUUAGUAAAAGAUUUUUUCGAUAUAUGAUGGUAUAUUCCAACAGAUGAACCUCCAUUUUGGUGCCCCAACCCAAUGUAUUACUGUAGAAUUUACCAUGGUUAAAGAUCAGGUGCCCCAAUGAUCAUGUCGAUUAAUCCGACUUGUUCAUACUGUUUAGUCUCAAACCAGUCUUGCGAUGUUUUCAACCUGAGCCAAAAGAACUUUUCUUCUUUGUUUGGUUAAAGAUCAAGUGACACUAGUAGUAGUACUUACAUUCCAAUCCAGUCGCUAAAAAGUAUCAUAUUCCAGAAACACUAAUCAGAUAAUAGAUUCCUCAUUUCAUCUUCCAUGUAAGCCGAAAUAGAGUUCUUCACAUCCAUGUUUUUCUUCUCCAAAAUCCGAACUUCGUUUUCUAGAAACUCCUUCUCCGACAAUAAACUCCUAAAUUCACUGUCUUCAAUCUCCCUUUGGAAUCCAAAACACAUCUUCACAAACCCUUCCCUGUGUACACAAUUCCAUUAUCAAAUUUUUAUUAAAUAAAUGCUCUAGAACACAAAUGCUUGUUUACAAUGCAAUCGAUGAUUACCGCUUCUCGGUUAGCCUUGUAAUUAGCUCACUGUGCUCAUUUCUCAGGCGACAAAUAUCAUCCUCCAGUAGCUUCAGAGAGUUUCUUGAAUCAGCUUUAAGAAAAAAAAAAACAUAGUGAUCGAGAUUUAACAUGUGAAUGUGAAUUUUAACAACACAUAAUCAUAAAUCAAAUUCAAAAACCUGUUACAGAGAUCAAACCGCUGAUCUCGAACUGAGAAGCAAUGAACGAUUUAGUAAGCUCAGCUUCUUUAACAGAUAGAGAAGAUUCCAUCUCAGAACAAUUUCCGAUAUGUGAUUCGAUCUCUCGCGUCACUUGAAUGUUCGCUUCGAUUUCCCGAUUGACCUGUUUCAUUCGAUCACAGCUCAAAUUAAGCUAAAGACAAGAAACCAAACCAAACCAGUGAAGAGGAAGAAGAAGAGGGAAACCUGAUCAAGCAUGUCCUUGAAAAUGGAGAUCUGACAUAGAAUCGCACCUGAAUCCUCCAUCUCUAAAUCUCGCUCUUGCUCUCGCUUCCGCUUCUUUUCAAAUUCAAAAUCAAAAUCGUUGAAAGAGUUUGGGGAAGAUAAGAUUUUAUACUGGGCUGUAUGGGCUUUUAACUCAAAUCGGCCCAGUGAGACCUAGUAUUUCGUGGCCAUUCGGAUUUCGGAUCUUUCAAUAUUGGGAAAUACGAACGAACCGAAUUUUUAACUUCGGAUCUUGUUUGGUUUGGUUUUUAAUUUUAUUUUUGGUUCGAUUCAGAAUCGAGUUUGGUUUGCAAUCCGAAAUUGUAGAAUGGAUCGUCUUCCCUCUGGUGACACUUGCACACCAAUGUUGACUGUUGAAGUCAGCUAUUUUGGACAAAAAACAGUUUGGCGUUGGAGAUGACCAUACAUUCUUCCAAUGUGUAGAUUGGGCAUAAGGGUCAAACGUCAUUACGGUAGAUUAGAACGUUCUGAUUAUGCAUUACAACUGUUCGAUGAAAUGCCUGAACGAGAAUUCACGUAGUCUCCAGUUCAAGAAAAGAAAGCUCUUCCGGCGAAUCUUUCUAUUGAUGCAAGAGUGUACUGGAUUCAAAGAGCUGGCAAGAUCAUGGUCAAGCAAUGCGUUCUGACUUGAAAAAUAUUCUCAUCUUUUGAUUGGUGGAGAGUGUAGGUGCCUAUCUUUCACUGGUUCUCGUCAUGAAAAUGAUAAUGUUGCGUUAUUGACUGGGUAAAAAGUUGGACUUUGUUUGUGGCAAUUACGUUACCCUUGACAAAUGAGGUUUAAGUUGAUCAUGCAGAAUUUUGGAACAUUAGUGCGGUCAGGUCAACAUUGUUUAUAGGUUCUUGAAAAUACUUCUCACAAGUCCCUGGAAGAAAGAAAAAAACACAUCUUUAUCAAAAGAAAAGUCCUUGAGUUUUUUUUUUUCUUUUUCCCUUGGCUUUCUUGGUCUUGUGUAUGUUCGCUUUUUAGUUAUUAGAGAGAAAAGGGAAAACACAUGGGGAAGAAAAGGAUCGUGUUGCUCUUAUUUGUAAGUUUUAGCUAUGCAGAGAUAACAAAAGAGAGUCCUUUGUCAAUAGGACAAACUCUCAGCUCCUCUAAUGGAGUUUAUGAACUGGGAUUCUUCAGUUUUAGUAACUCCCAAAAUCAGUAUGUCGGAAUCUGGUUCAAGGGUGUCAUUCCCAGGGUUGUUGUGUGGGUGGCCAAUAGAGAAAAGCCUGUUACAGACUCUGCGGCAAAUCUAGUUAUCAGCAGCAAUGGAAGUCUUCUAUUAAUUAAUGGCAAACAUGGUGUUGUUUGGUCCAGCGGACAAACUAUUGCAUCUAACGGGUCUCGUGCAGAGCUUUCAGACUAUGGAAAUCUAAUUGUCAAAGACAAAGUUUCGGGAAGAACUCAAUGGGAAAGCUUCGAGCAUCUUGGUAACACUCUGCUCCCUACGUCAACUAUGAUGUAUAAUCUUGCCACUGGUGAGAAGCGAGGGUUAAGGUCUUGGAAAAGUUAUACUGAUCCAUCGCCUGGUGACUUUUGGGUUCAGAUCACACCUCAAGUGCCAUCACAGGGGUUUGUUAUGAGAGGGUCGGUCCCUUAUUAUAGAACCGGUCCAUGGGCUAAAACAAGGUUCACCGGGAUACCACAAAUGGAUGAAUCAUACACAAGUCCAUUCAGCCUACAUCAGGAUGUAAAUGGGUCUGGAUACUUUUCGUAUUUUGAAAGAGACUACAAACUUUCACGUAUAACUUUAACAUCAGAGGGAGCAAUGAAGGUGUUACGGUAUAAUGGAAUGGACUGGAAAUCAAGCUACGAGGGUCCAGCCAAUUCAUGUGAUAUUUAUGGUGUAUGUGGACCUUUUGGUUUUUGUGUUAUCUCAGAUCCUCCAAAGUGUAAAUGCUUCAAAGGUUUUGUUCCUAAAUCGAUUGAGGAUUGGAAAAGAGGAAACUGGACUAGUGGUUGUGCGAGGCGUACUGAACUACAUUGUCAAGGAAACUCUACUGGCAAAGAUGCAAACGUCUUCCAUACUGUUCCCAACCUAAAACCUCCAGACUUUUACGAAUAUACAAAUUCUGUGGAUGCUGAAGGAUGCCACCAAAGUUGCCUGCACAAUUGUUCUUGCUUGGCCUUCGCUUACAUUCCUGGAAUAGGGUGCUUAAUGUGGAGCAAGGACCUAAUGGACACAAUGCAAUUUUCUACAGGAGGAGAACUUCUUUCCAUUCGUCUUGCACAUUCUGAGCUAGGUAUGUCUUAGAAGAUAAUUCAACGAACUUCUGUAUCUUUUUCAAUUAUAUCUUCUACUUCACUGAUAUUGAUGUUUUCGAUAGAAGCAUGUCUUAUUGUUUAAUUCUUGUCCUAAAUUCCUCAGAUGUAAAUAAGCACAAGCUGACCAUUGUUGCUAGUACAGUGAGCCUUACCCUCUUUGUGAUCUUGGGCUUUGCUGCGUUUGGUUUCUGGAGAUGCAGAGUAAAACAUCACGGUAACAUAUUGAUGCUAUCGAACACUCUCUCAUUGUUCAUCUAUUCAUUUGAUUGUCAAUAAAAUUGCUCUUUCACGUUUGUGAUUAUCGUAAGAUAAAAAUGUGUUUUUUUUCAACUACAACAAACCUACACUAAACUGAUGGACUUAUAUAUGUUCUCUUCGGUACAUUGGUUUGGGCUUGUUUUAAAAACUCUUAAUAUGCUCACUUGGCACUAACUCACAAAGUCUAACCCAAAUAUCAGCUCAUAUAUCAGAGGAUGCAUGGAGGAAUGAUCUGCAAUCACAAGACGUCCCAGGUUUAGAAUUUUUUGAGAUGAAUACCAUACAAACUGCCACCAAUAAUUUCAGUCUAUCAAACAAACUCGGACAUGGUGGAUUUGGUUCCGUUUACAAGGCGAGAAACGUUUUAUCCUCUUCACUCUUUUUCUGUCUUUUCUCAACUCUCAAGAUGACAUUUGCAUCUUGUUUCAGGGAAAACUGCAAGAUGGAAGGGAAAUUGCGGUAAAACGCCUUUCUAGCAGCUCUGGGCAGGGCAAACAGGAGUUCAUGAAUGAAAUAGUACUUAUCUCAAAACUCCAACACAGAAACUUAGUCCGGGUUUUGGGAUGCUGCGUCGAAGGAAUAGAAAAGCUAUUGAUUUAUGAGUUUAUGAAAAACAAAAGCCUUGAUACUAUUGUCUUUGGUGGGUCACAUCUUGCCUCUUUCUUGUAGCUUUCCUCUCUCUAUGUGGAACUGCUUGUUUGAUAGUUUUUACACGGUGUUUUUUCUUAGAUUCAAGAAAAAGGCUUAAGAUAGAUUGGCCAAAGAGAUUUGAUAUCAUUCAAGGUAUUGCGCGUGGACUUCUCUAUCUCCAUCGUGACUCGCGCCUCAGAGUAAUUCACAGAGACCUGAAGGUCAGCAACAUUCUUCUGGACGAGAAAAUGAACCCGAAAAUAUCAGAUUUUGGGUUGGCUCGGAUGUUUCAGGGAACCCAAUAUCAGGACAAAACUCGCAGGGUUGUCGGAACUCUGUAAGAACCAUUCUUUGAUAACAUAUUAAACCUAGAUUGAUAGUCAUAUACUAAACUGGGUGAAACUAUUUGAUUUUUGAACAGAGG
rnacentral:lncRNA from 1 species